GGCGGCAGGCUUAACACAUGCAAGUCGAACGAUAUAGUGGCAGACGGGUGAGUAACGCGUGGAAACGUGCCUUUCACUACGGAAUAGCUUUUGGAAACGAAAGGUAAUACCGUAUACGCCCUCCGGGGGAAAGAUUUAUCGGUGAAAGAUCGGUCCGCGUUAGAUUAGCUAGUUGGUGAGGUAAGAGCUCACCAAGGCGACGAUCUAUAGCUGGUCUGAGAGGAUGAUCAGCCACACUGGGACUGAGACACGGCCCAGACUCCUACGGGAGGCAGCAGUGGGGAAUAUUGCACAAUGGGCGCAAGCCUGAUGCAGCCAUGCCGCGUGAAUGAUGAAGGCCUUAGGGUUGUAAAAUUCUUUCGCCAAGGAUGAUAAUGACAGUACUUGGUAAAGAAGCCCCGGCUAACUUCGUGCCAGCAGCCGCGGUAAUACGAAGGGGGCUAGCGUUGUUCGGAAUUACUGGGCGUAAAGCGCACGUAGGCGGAUUUUUAAGUCAGAUGUGAAAUCCCGAGGCUCAACCUUGGAACUGCAUUUGAAACUGGGAAUCUAGAGAUCAGGAGAGGUUAGUGGAAUACCGAGUGUAGAGGUGAAAUUCGUAGAUAUUCGGUGGAACACCAGUGGCGAAGGCGACUAACUGGACUGAUACUGACGCUGAGGUGCGAAAGUGUGGGGAGCAAACAGGAUUAGAUACCCUGGUAGUCCACACCGUAAACGAUGAGAGCUAGUUGUCUGCAGGCAUGCCUGUAGGUGACGCAGCUAACGCAUUAAGCUCUCCGCCUGGG
rnacentral:rRNA from 1 species